GUAAUGGUGUCUUUAGACACCACCUAUUUUUUAUUUGAAGUUAUUU
rfam:Picea glauca, whole genome shotgun sequence.